rnacentral:rRNA from 1 species
UACAGAGGUCGCAAGCGUUGUUCGGAUUCACUGGGCGUAAAGGGUGCGUAGGCGGUCGGGUAAGUCUGAUGUGAAAUCUCACAGCUUAACUGUGAAACUGCAUUGGAUACUAUUCGGCUAGAGAGUUGGAGGGGGGACUGGAAUUCUUGGUGUAGCAGUGAAAUGCGUAGAUGUCAAGAGGAACACCAGUGGCGAAGGCGAGUCCCUGGACAGCUUCUGACGCUGAGGCACGAAAGCUAGGGGAGCAAACAGG